GAAAGAGUUGUCCUAAAGCCGUUGACGGCCGCGGACGAGCAUGGCUGCUCUACAUCCGGGGUUUCGCCGUCACUUCAUUUUGCUCAAAGGGUCCUGUGCAGCAACGGGGACGCCAUUGAGUGUCGUUGGCGUGUCGACCACUUCCCAGGUUCUAGCAGAUUGUUGGUGGAGACCGCUACAGCAGGCUGGUGCAGACUGGUGGUGUUGGUGGGGACCGCUACAGCCAUCGGAAGGGAUUUGGCAGGAGGUGGAGCCUUCUUUGCUUGACUUUUACUGCCAAGGAUGGAAGGUUUGAUUUCACAGUCAUGGCCUCUUCCACUAGUUCACUGACUGAGCACUCCAUUAGGGCUUCUGAUGUCCUGGCCCGGAACAGCUGCUCAACGUGCUGCAGUAAAGAGAAUACAUCCGUAGAUGGCUGGUGAAGUGCGCCCUCUCUGUACUCCUUCAUCUGCAGCAGUGUGGCGUUGUCCGGUACAGCGUCGUCACUGUUCCUUAAGGCAGGCUUACAGGCCGAACACAAAGAGCCGCCUAGUACACCCUUGAUGACGUAUCCGGCCAGAUGGUAUAGCACACAGGACUCCGCUUUUGUGAGUGCAUUUGGUGGAUGGGUGGCUGGUGGUGGUGGUGUGUCUACCAAGUGCUAGAAUCAUAGCUGUCAUCUGUUGUAAUUAUUCACUUGGUCAUAAUGAUACCACAGAUUCAUUGAAAAUCACUUCUUUCAAUCAGCAGUGACUGGCUGUGAAAUAUUUAACCGUCCAGAUCCAGUUCAACAUUUGACUAAUAUCACUGUUUUUGUCUUUUGUAUUCCCAUUGAGUUGUGUUACAGGUGGAAAUGAUUCUGCUCCUACUGCAUGAGACUGCUGCUGUUGAUGGGGAAGUGCUUUUGCCAGAAAUGGCUUAGUUGCAGGUGGUGGCUUUCUUGAGUUGCACUGAUAAGGUAACCUAACUAACCUUUUGAGGACCCUUACAGUAAGUAAUAUUAUAUCUGUGUCUAACAUUUUGUAUUUCCGGUGAUUGAGGUCUUUAGCUGCAAAAUGUAUAGGACUUUGGUCACACUAGUAGGGCCGGAUAUAUGUGCACAGCAACAUAGUUGUCUUUUUUUUUGUUUCUAUACGCCAUCCCAAUGGAAUUCAAAUGAAACUACGGUAACAAGAGAAUAAAAGUGCCUUUCAAAACAUUCAAGGAUCAGAGAGAAGUAAUAAUAAAACGAAGACACAUUAACACAUUUUUAACAAAAAUAAAACGGUAGUUAAAAAGUCCUAAGGAAUAGGCUAACUGAAACAAAUGAGUUUUUAGUCUGCAUUUGAACUUGGGUAAUAAGUCAGGGGGCAGUGCAUUCCAGAGCUGAGGAGCAGAGCAACUGAAAAGCUCUAUUCCCCAUGGUACUGAGAUGGGCAGAGGGACAGAGAGGAGGAUGGUCGAGGACAAACCGAGGUAGCGAGAGGGAAUGGCAAGGCAAGAUAGUUGCAAGAUUGUGAAUGGCCUGGAAGGUGUGCAGGACAGGAGUAUUUUAAGAAGCACAGGGUAUUGAGCACUCAGAGACAUAGCCAAGGUAAGAAUGGAAGACGCCGAACAACCAUUCAACAAGUUAAUUGAGUCAAGACUGGGUCAAGAAAUACCAGAGGACAGUUUUCAAAGGUAUGGACUAGUGAAAGUGACUGUUGACAGACAGGGUGUCAAGACAAUGGUAUUUGUGUCGUAUUCGUGGGUAAGCGGUUAGGGUGUCAGACUCGUAGCCCAAAGGAUGCUGGUUCGACUCCAACCCGCCAGGUUGGUGUGGGGAGUAUUUAACCAGUGCUCUCCCCCAUCCUCCUCCCUGACUGAGGUACCCUGAUCAUGGUACCGUCCCGCCACACUGCGCCAUUGGGGACUGCCCCCUUGCAUGGAUGAGGCAGAAAUGCAAUUUUCUAGUGUGCAGUGUUCACUUGAAUUUUGUGGAGUACUGUGUCACAGUGAAUUUAAAUGUAUUACUUUAAUAAAUGUUAAUGACAAGUAGAAAUGGGCAGCAUAGUUGCAAUGCCUAGUCUUGCCACCCUUGUAAGAUCAGAUAACUAACUUUUAGUGUCUGUUUUCACCCUUGUAAGAUCAGAUAACUAACUUUUUGUGUCUGUUUUCACAGAAAUUUGUCUAGCGUGACACUUCUCCACAAUCCACAUGUAAACAGGCAUUUAAAAACAAUAUGGCCAUUGGUCUUGUCCUCUAGGUCCUCUAGGCCCAAGCUGUUAGGGCAGCACAGUACAAUAAAUUAAGUUGCCAAAAAAAAACUUAAAAUAUUCCUCUGUGGUAUUAAAAAAAAUAUGCUUUCCAUGUAGAUGUGUGCAUUCUACUGUUCUCCACUUCUGUGAAGCAAUACUAUAGGAUGAGGGUGAAAAUGGUGUUUAUAUAUAUAUUUUUUUCAGCAGCAAGACAUUCUAAAAUUUCUUCCAGAAGGGAGGAACGCUAAUUAUUGGUUUAGCAAAGGGUCCAGAGCAAUAUUGUCCGCCAUUCUUGCUGUGUGAUCCAUUUAACUUUCCAAUAAAUGUCCCUCCAGGGUGUGGCCUACCAUUUUGGCACUGUACCUUUAAACAAAGUCUUGGGUAGGCUGUGGCAUUCCAACAAAUAUAAAUUGGUUCUAAUUGGCCCAAAAUGUGCUUAGGAAAUAUCCCUAUGCCAUUAUAUCUCCUACAUGAAACGUUGAUGUAAGACAGAGUCCAUCUUUUCAUGUUGUUAUCGACAAUUCUAAAUUCUGUCAAUUCCACCUGAGAGUGUAGAUGUAGAUAUCAAGACUCAUCAGACUAGGCAACAUUUUUCCGAUCUUUUAGUGUCGUUUAUGGUGAGCCAGUCGAAAUUGUUGCCUCAUUUUCCUGUUCUUGGCUGACAGGAGUGGCACCAAAUGUGUUUUUUCUGCUGCUGUAACCCGUUUGCCUCAAGAUGUGCUGUGUAAUCAGGGAUUCUCUUAUGCAUACCUUUGUUGUACUGAGUGGUUAUUUGACUUAAUGUUGCCUUUGUAUCAGCUCCAACCAGUCUGGCUAUUCUCCUCUGCCAUCAACAAGACAUUUUUGCCCACAGAAUCGCUGCUCACUGUAUUCCCCCCCUUACCAUUGUUUGUUAACCCCAGAGAUGGUUAUGUGUGAAUAUCCCAGCAGAUCAGUCUUUUCUGAAAUAUUCAAAUCAAUCCCUUUCAGCACCAACAGCCAUGCCAUGUAUAUAAAUAAAUCUCUCUCUUUUUUCUUCUCCUGUCUGCUCCUCUCUGGUCAUAGGUUGAUGCUUUCAAUGCAUUGGAAGUUCCAGCAUGUUCCAGUGAAUUCCAAUUCUUCAUGCAUUAUUGAUUUCACACACACACACACACACACACACACACACACACACACACACACACACACACACACACACACACACACACACACACGUCUUGUCAUGUACACAGACAUGCCGUUUUAUUCAUAGUUAUUUUGUUUGGGCUGUUUAUGUUUCUAUUUGGAGUAUUUUUUUUAUUUCAAAUAAAAGAUUGAACCAUUCAAGCACAGGUUGUACAGCUGUGGGUUAUUUACUUCAUGUUCAUUGCAUCAUGUUCAUGUUCAUUUGCAUCCUGCAUUGAGUGGUUUGACAGGUCUGAUGAUGACCAGCAUCAUAAAGGCUGAAAUUAACAAAUGCUAUAUUACUGUAGGCCUACAACUGGGACAUGCUGGGUUUAUGUAUUUAUCUUUUUAUGUAUUGGAAGUAUUUUAUCCAUUAAAAUGUCCUUCUGCUGAAUCCAAAACAAAUAGACAUUAUCAAGGGCUACGGACAAUUAGCAUCUCAAUGGUAAGUAAUGGAGCUUCCUAGCUAAGAUGACGUUUCCCUCCCAAAGUGUAACUGCAAUGAUAUUACCGUAUUACGGUACUGACACUUCAAUGUUUUUAUAUGACAAUGAAGGCCAUAAAAUGGCCUACAAAAAACAAAACGAACUCGUUCUUUUGGGGGCGGCAUAAUCUGAUAUAAUUACCGUUAAAGGACGCUCUCGCUCAAUGAAAUGUAUUGACAGCUCCCGGUGUAUAGGACCCUUCUGCGGUGGGCGUAGACUACGCAAACCACGUGACCACUCGUCGGCAAAGAUCAAAGGAUGCUCCAACUCUUUUCUCUACAGC